AACGAACGCUGGCGGCGUGCCUAACACAUGCAAGUCGAACGAGAAAGGUCGCAAGACUGAGUACAGUGGCGCACGGUGAGUAAUACAUAGGAAUCUUCCCUUUAGUGAAGAAUACCCUGGAGAAAUCCAGGCUAAUACUGCAUAAGCCCAGAAAUGGGGAAAGGUGGCCUCAAGCUACCGCUGAAGGAUGAGCCUGUGUCCUAUUAGUUAGUUGGCAGGGUAAUGGCCUACCAAGACAAAGAUGGGUAUCCGGCCUGAGAGGGUGUACGGACACACUGGAACUGAAACACGGUCCAGACUCCUACGGGAGGCAGCAGUGGGGAAUAUUGCACAAUGGGCGCAAGCCUGAUGCAGCGACGCCGCGUGGAGGAUGACGGUCUUCGGAUUG
rnacentral:rRNA from 1 species